GUCAAGAAUAGCAUGUUAAAUACAAAUUUGACAAAAUCGCAAAAUAGAGGAACAUUUUGAACCAUCAGAACAGUCGAGAUUAUAAUUGUAGUUGUAUUGUAGAUCAUGCAGCCUGCAGGCUCAUCUUUUGAUUGACCGGCUCAUCUUUUGAU